CCCACUGUGAACAAAUGGAGCACAUGUCAGGAAUCUGGCUAUUGGGCCUAGGAGGGCACGCUGUGAGCAGAGCAGGAAUAAAGGCACACUGGACAUCCUGAGUAUCCUGCUUUUCUAGCCAAGUACCAAUGCUGCUUCAAAUAGAAGGUGAUGAACAAGAAAGGCCAUGGAGGUCAGCAGAGUUGCUAGGCAGCAUUCAACAAUACUCUUCUACAGGCCCUGGACAAGUAACCACCACAGGACAGGUGGCCACCUGGUCAGUUUUGGCCCAAGCCCAUAUUUCUUCAGAUACAUGACACUGGUUACAACUUUAAAGAGCGGCAGAUGAAAUUAACAAAUCUGUUUAGGGGCAGGGGAGAUAAGUCUCAGUGGAUGAAGACGUUGGAACAAAAGUGAUAAGUACCUGGCCAUGAACUCCACCAGCCGCUGAUAGAAAAAGCGCCCUGCAGAGAGAGAGUACCUUCAUCAAGACACUGGUGUCCAAGAGAGCUUUUUAUACUUCUGCCUUCCUACUUGGAAUAAUAAAAAUUGUUUUAGAGAAAAGAACAAGGACCUUGGGAGUCUGACAUACCUGGGUCUGAAUCCAGGCUCUCCACAAUUUAACAACCUGUGUGAUUUCGGAAGUUCUCUCAUUCGUACAAUAAGGAACUUGUUGCUCAGAAUCUGCUGAUGAACAGCCUGGAUAAACACCACCGCAAAGAGAAAAGUCAGUCAGAGGGACCAUUUGAGUGGAUGGAAGACUCAGGCUGAUCAAAAGGACCAUGAGGACCUUCAGAGCCCAAGACAUGAGGGUCCCACUGGUGGGUCAGAAGAAAAAGAAGGUGGAGUGAUGUGAAGACCUUCAGUCCCAGAGCUAGAGCAUGAGCCUCGGGUGGAGGGGCAGGAAGUGCUGUCUCUGCCACUCCGUUCUGACAGAAUCCAUCAUUCAGACUGUCAUAAAAUCUCUUGAUAGUGGUCUUGCCUUGAGUUUCUCCCACUCUCCCCAAACCAUCACACUUGAUAGAUUAAAAACACCAUAAUUUAUAUUUCA